CACCCCCUGCGGUGCUCGAAGCCGGCUCAGGAAACUCUUGAGCCUAAUUGCAGUACCCGGAGGCAAACCGAGAUGGGAUCGUUGUGCAUGUCCGCCGUCGAGCGGAAAGCCUGAGAUCCCACGGCUGCCCCCACUUGAACCGCCCGGUUCAAGAUCACGAGCCUGCUACGGCACAGGCGGGGGGUGU
rnacentral:other from 1 species